CAACUGCACUAUGGUUCUGGAUCUGGAUCUACUACCCUGGUGGAUAAUAAGGCCUGUCUGGAUUUCAACAGCCUGGAUUUCGUAUCCAUAGGUGGUGUGUGAUGCUGACUGUCUACUGAUGUCCGAUUUGAGGUUGAUGUGGCGAUGUGUAGAGACGGAACAGACCCUGGAUUCAAGAUGGUGUGAACCUGAGAUGGGUCAAGGUGGAACAGGAGGCAAAAUAUGAGGUUGACACAUUGCAUGUGCCGUGUGUGUCCGUGCUAUCCACCUUUUCAUGUCUGAGCUCUCACGAGGAUCACUUUAAGGACCACUCCGACUGUUCAUCAGAGACAAACCAACUGUCAUUUGGUGUGAGGUAGUAGGUUGUAUAGUUUUAGGGUCACACCCAAGCUGUCAGAUGACUAUACAACAUACUGUCUUUCCUGAAGUGGCUGUAAUAUCAUCACAGACUCUCCACGUGAAGAACCCUCGGCAAAGGCUGCUAUGAAAAUGUACCUUUCGUGCAUACAUUAUUAAAAUUUUUACAAUAUUAUUACAUAAUUGUAUUAUUAUCCAUUUUAUAUUUGAACAGGAAAUGAUAUUUCACUUCAGGUUAAUUCACAUUUUCUGGUUGGACUCCAUCUCUAACCAACUGGUCAACCGGACCGUGCCUGGUCGGUGGUUCAUGGUGUUCGCACAGGGUGAGGUAGUAGGUUGUGUGGUUUCAGGGUUGUGAUUUUGCCCCAUCAGGAGUUAACUGUACAACCUACUGCCUUCCCUGAAGGGCAGCAACACAACGCUACAACAUGGCCACAAUGGAGCUCACUGUCUACUGUGCUGUUUUUAAGUGGAGCGCAAAGUAAAGGUAAGCUAUCUCAAAUCAUUGCCUUGUAUUACUGCACAACAAGUAUUUUAUGUAUUGGAAUUUGGAAAUAGGCCUAUUGUUUAUCUACCUUCAAUUUUGUAAUAAUCCAUACUGUACUAAAAGUCAUAAUAAAAAGUGAAUAGUGUUA